GUAGGUGGCAAGCGUUGUCCGGAAUUAUUGGGGCGUAAAGCGCGCGCAGGCGGUUCUUUAAGGCUGAUGUGAAAGCCCACGGGCUCAACCGUGGAGGGUCAUUGGAAACUGGAGAACUUGAGUACAGAAGAGGAAAGCGGAAUUCCACGUGUAGCGGUGAAAUGCGUAGAGAUGUGGAGGAACACCAGUGGCGAAGGCGGCUUUCUGGUCUGUAACUGACGCUGAGGCGCGAAAGCGUGGGGAGCAAACAGGAUUAGAUACCCUGGUAGUCCACGCCGUAAACGAUGAGUGCUAAGUGUUAGGGGGGUUUCCGCCCCCUUAGUGCUGCAGCUAACGCAUUAAGCACUCCGCCUGGGGAGUACGGCCGCAAAGGCUG
rnacentral:rRNA from 1 species